GCGCUGGUGGCUUAGUGGUUAGCACGUUUGCCUCACACCUCCAGGAUUGGGGGUUCGUUUCCCACCCCGUGUG